UCGGGGAUCGUUCAAUGGUAGGACACAGGUUUUUGGUACCUGGUAUCGGGGUUCGAGUCCCUGUCCCCGAGCCA
rnacentral:tRNA from 1 species